rnacentral:rRNA from 1 species
AGUGAACGCUGGCGGCAGGCCUAAUACAUGCAAGUCGAACGGCAGCACAGUGGAGCUUGCUCCAUGGGUGGCGAGUGGCGGACGGGUGAGGAAUACAUGGGAAUCUGCCCAGUCGUGGGGGAUAACGUAGGGAAACUUACGCUAAUACCGCAUGCGCCCUUCGGGGGAAAGCCGGGGACCUUCGGGCCUGGCGCGAUUGGAUGAGCCCAUGUUCGAUUAGCUAGUUGGCGGGGUAAAGGCCCACCAAGGCGACGAUCGAUAGCUGGUCUGAGAGGAUGAUCAGCCACACUGGGACUGAGACACGGCCCAGACUCCUACGGGAGGUAGCAGAAGGGAAUAUUGGACAAUGGGCGCAAGCCUGAUCCAGCCAUGCCGCGUGAGUGAAGAAGGCCCUCGGGUUGUAAAGCUCUUUUGUCCGGGAAGAAAAGCAUCGGGCUAAUACCUCGGUGUUCUGACGGUACCGGAAGAAUAAGCACCGGCUAACUUCGUG